GCUGUAACUGCUGUGUGUUGAAGCCUGCUGAAUUAACACAUAAAACAUACUGGAAAUCAGGGAAACCUAUUAAAGAGAAGCUGGAUUCUGUAGGCCUAAGGGAAGUGUGUUGAGCCACUGAGCUGGGCAGCAUCAGAAGGCAGCCAUCUGACCCAGAUUCUAAGACAAUCAAAAGCUGUUUGAUGUGCUUCCUCAGCUGCAAAGGAAUUUACAAAAAGUGUCUGUAAGUCUUAACCUUGAAUAAAACUCUGGAGCAGUUAAUUCUCUUGGAAAAGAGUAAAGAAAUAAAUGAGCUGGGUGACACGUGAAUCCCAUUUCAAAGUUCCAAAAAAGGAAAGUAAGGAAAACA